CCCUACGGGGUGCAGCAGGCGGAAUGAUAAGUCAGUGGUGAAAUCCUACGGCUCAACUGUAGAACUGCCCUUGAUACUGUUGUUCUUGAGUACACUUGGAGUGGGCGGACUGUGUCAUGUAGCGGUGAAAUGCUUAGAUAUGACACAGAACACCGAUCGCGAAGGCAGCUCACUAAGUUGUAAGUGACGCUCAGGCACGAAAGCGUGGGGAUCAAACA
rnacentral:rRNA from 1 species